rnacentral:lncRNA from 1 species
UGUUUUCGCUACCCCCGGGACUCGGAGCGAAGAAAGAAAUGCGAAGCUCAAGUAAAGCGGGAUCGGUGGAACGCAACUGACAGCUCAUAUAUCUGCGAGCUCCACUUUGAAGAGGACCAGCUUGAGAAAAAUCGGCAGGAUGGACGCCACCUGUUAAAGUCUACAGCUCUGCCCACGCUGUUCGACUUUAGACCUCAACCUAAGCGAAGGAAACUCCCUAUGAGACGGACUGCCGAAUGUGGACCUGCUGGCGAGGAAGGCACCAACUCCUCCUCAACACUUGCUACAGACGCUGACCAAGAAGACUCCGCAGAACUGAGUCGAGAUAGUAGCUCUUCUUUCGAAGAAAAUGCAGUCGAGCAUGAGAGCAAUGAAGAUAUUUCCUCGCUCUCUGUACGUGAGCUACGAAAGGCUCUGCAAGAUGCGAAAAAGAAAAACACUGAUUUGCAUGAAAAAUUGUCGACAUCAAAAAAGAAGUUGAAGACUGCUGCCAGGAAAACAAAACGGUUAGAAAAAGACCUCUCAGCGCUGACCAAAAAUCUGGAUUUCUUGAACGAGGACCAGAAGGCUACCUUGAAGAGAAAGAGCCGGAAAGGUAGUGCAUGGAGUGCAGAAACCAUAAAGAAAGCGCUGCAACUCAAAUUUGCUUGUGGCUCUGCAGGCUACGACUUACUUUUAGAACAGGGCAAUCCUCUUCCCUCACGAAGAACACUUUGCAGACGACUGCAGCACCUGUCAUUUAAGCCCGGCGUUUUGAUUGAUAUAGUAAAUAUGAUGAAAGUGAAAGUGGCCGCAAUGUCAAACAUUGAAAAAGACUGCGUCAUAUUUCUCGAUGAAAUGGAGAUUCGCAAGGGUGUCGAGCUAGACCGCAGUGGUGACGGCUUCCUUGGCAAGGUGACGCUCCCUGAAACCGACCGAGCAGCAAACCAUGUACCGUCUUUAUGGUUGGGGGCCUAAACACCCGCUGGAAGCAGGUGAUUGCUUAUCACUACACAGGUGCUUUUGUCAAUGGAGAGAAGCUGAGAGACUUUGUCGUCCAUUUAAUCAACCUUUGUGCAGACAUUUCUUUGCGUGUGCUGUGCGUGACAUGCGACAUGGGGAGCUCCAAACAUUCGAUGUGGCGGAGCUUAAACCUGUCAA